AGAGUUUGAUCAUGGCUCAGGAUGAACGCUAGCGGCAGGCCUAAUACAUGCAAGUCGAACGAGAUUAAGAGGCUUGCUUCUUAUGAAAGUGGCGCACGGGUGCGUAACGCGUAUGCAACCUACCUUAAUCAGGGGGAUAGCCCGAAGAAAUUCGGAUUAAGACCGCAUAAAAACACAGGAUAGCAUUAUCCAAUGUUCAAAUAUUUAUAGGAUUAAGAUGGGCAUGCGUGUCAUUAGCUAGUUGGCGGGGUAACGGCCCACCAAGGCGACGAUGACUAGGGGAUCUGAGAGGAUGACCCCCCACACUGGUACUGAGACACGGACCAGACUCCUACGGGAGGCAGCAGUAAGGAAUAUUGGUCAAUGGAGGGAACUCUGAACCAGCCAUGCCGCGUGCAGGAAGACAGCCCUCUGGGUCGUAAACUGCUUUUAUUCGGGAAUAAACCUUUCUACGUGUAGGAAGCUGAAUGUACCGAAGGAAUAAGGAUCGGCUAACUCCGUGCCAGCAGCCGCGGUAAUACGGAGGAUCCAAGCGUUAUCCGGAUUUAUUGGGUUUAAAGGGUGCGUAGGCGGCUUAUUAAGUCAGGGGUGAAAGACGGUGGCUCAACCAUCGCAGUGCCCUUGAUACUGAUGAGCUUGAAUACACUAGAGGUAGGCGGAAUGUGACAAGUAGCGGUGAAAUGCAUAGAUAUGUCACAGAACACCGAUUGCGAAGGCAGCUUACUAUGGUGUUAUUGACGCUGAGGCACGAAAGCGUGGGGAUCAAACAGGAUUAGAUACCCUGGUAGUCCACGCCCUAAACGAUGAAUACUCGCUGUUAGCGAUAUACAGUUAGCGGCUAAGCGAAAGCGUUAAGUAUUCCACCUGGGGAGUACGCNCCGCAAGGGUGAAACUCAAAGGAAUUGACGGGGGCCCGCACAAGCGGAGGAGCAUGUGGUUUAAUUCGAUGAUACGCGAGGAACCUUACCCGGGCUUGAAAGUUAGUGAAUGAUCUAGAGAUAGAUCAGUGAGCAAUCACACGAAACUAGGUGCUGCAUGGCUGUCGUCAGCUCGUGCCGUGAGGUGUUGGGUUAAGUCCCGCAACGAGCGCAACCCCUAUGUUUAGUUGCCAGCACGUUAAGGUGGGGACUCUAAACAGACUGCCUGUGCAAACAGAGAGGAAGGAGGGGACGACGUCAAGUCAUCAUGGCCCUUACGUCCGGGGCUACACACGUGCUACAAUGGAUGGUACAGAGGGCAGCAAGCUGGCAACAGCAAGCGAAUCUCAAAAAGCCAUUCACAGUUCGGAUAGAGGUCUGCAACUCGACCUCUUGAAGUUGGAUUCGCUAGUAAUCGCGUAUCAGCAAUGACGCGGUGAAUACGUUCCCGGGCCUUGUACACACCGCCCGUCAAGCCAUGGAAGUUGGGGGUACCUAAAGUAUGUAACCGUAAGGAGCGUCCUAGGGUAAAACCGAUAACUGGGGCUAAGUCGUAACAAGGUAGCC
rnacentral:rRNA from 1 species